rnacentral:snoRNA from 1 species
CCUGACUAAAAGCAGAGGCUGUUUAGGCGGUCGCCUCCAGUAGGGGCCGUUCGUUGAGGUAGCCUCUCGUCCUGUACAGGAAAAGAAACUGAGAACCUACUGGGUGCGCUCGGGUAUGGCCAAUCGGCCCCUGACCCUGAUGACUAAUCAUAUGGCUCCCCAUCCCCAGUACCACCGGCACAUGC